rnacentral:rRNA from 1 species
UACGGGGGGGGCAAGCGUUGUUCGGAAUUACUGGGCGUAAAGGGCUCGUAGGCGGCCAACUAAGUCAUACGUGAAAUCCCUCGGCUUAACCGGGGAACUGCGUCUGAUACUGGAUGGCUUGAGUUCGGGAGAGGAUGCGGAAUUCCAGGUGUAGCGGUGAAAUGCGUAGAUAUCUGGAGGAACACCGGUGGCGAAGGCGGCAUCCUGGACCGAUACUGACGCUGAGGAGCGAAAGCCAGGGGAGCAAACGGG